AGGGGUUUCCGCUUUUGCUUCUUCCUCAUUUUCUCUUGCUGCUGCCAUUUUCGCCUCCCGCCAUGAUUCUGAGGCCUCCCCAGCUAUGUGGAACUGUAAGUCCAGUUAAACCUCGUUUUCUUCCCAGUCUCAGGGUGAUGGAUCUCUGCAGUAAGUGGAAGAGUUCUUCAUGGCCCCCAAGGUUAUAUCCAUCUAGAACUUCAGCACGUAAUUUCAUCUGGAAAUAGUGCCUUUGCGGAUAUAAGUUAGGUAAAACUGAAGAUGAGAUCAUACUGGAUUAGGAUGGGAUCUAAAUCCAAUGAAAAUGUCUUCAUAAAAAACAGGAAAGAACCCAUAGAAACACAAGGAAGAAGGUCAUGUGAAGAUGGAGGCAGAGAUUGGAGGGAUGCAGCCACCGGCCCAGGAAUGCCAGCAGCCACCCAGAAGCUGGAAGGAAAUGAGGGAUUCUCUCCUAGAACCUUUAGA
rnacentral:lncRNA from 10 species